UACGUAGGGUGCAAGCGUUGUCCGGAAUUAUUGGGCGUAAAGAGCUCGUAGGCGGUUCGUCGCGUCGGCUGUGAAAUCCCGAGGCUCAACCUCGGGUCUGCAGUCGAUACGGGCGGACUGGAGUUCGGCAGGGGAGACUGGAAUUCCUGGUGUAGCGGUGAAAUGCGUAGAUAUCUGGAGGAACACCGGUGGCGAAGGCGGCAUCCUGGACCGAGAUUGACGCUGAUGCGCGAAAGCCAGGGGAGCAAACGGG
rnacentral:rRNA from 1 species